UGGGGUGUAGUUCAGAGGUAGAGCAUUUGCCUAGCACGUGUAGGAAACUGGGUUCAAUCCUCAGCACCACAU
rnacentral:tRNA from 1 species